rnacentral:rRNA from 1 species
CAGUCGCCACGGUAAUACGUAGGUGGCAAGCGUUGUCCGGAAUUAUUGGGCGUAAAGCGCGCGCAGGCGGAUAGGUCAGUCUGUCUUAAAAGUUCGGGGCUUAACCCCGUGAUGGGAUGGAAACUGCUGAUCUAGAGUAUCGGAGAGGAAAGUGGAAUUCCUUGUGUAGCGGUGAAAUGCGUAGAUAUUAGGAAGAACACCAGUGGCGAAGGCGACUUUCUGGACGAAAACUGACGCUGAGGCGCGAAAGCCAGGGGAGCGAACGGGAUUAGAUACCCCCGUAGUCCCUGUCUCUUAUACA